GGCUCUCAAAAGCAGCGCCAGCCACAUAGGGCUAGCAGCGACCAAAACGGGCACACAACUGACCGGUCCAACUGAUGCAGAACGAGAGCCGAUCAUGCACAAAAUGCCACUAAAGCAGUCGGGAGUUACAAGGGUGACCAAAGAAUCAACUGAAUCACAAGAAAUAGCACAAGGACCCAAUUUGACACCCGCAACAAUGUGUUGUCAUGAUUUGUUGAUGAGGAAUGUUGUGCUUUCUGCCUACACCCCAAUGACUAUACUGCAGCCCAGCUUCCAGUUGAUGCGGGAGGCACUAUAGGGCCCUACUGCCUAACACUUGCUGACGAGGACACCCUUGCAAAGAAUGAGAUUGUGGAUCCUACCAUCGGCCUCCAGAAUAAGGAUGGAAUGACAAGGUGUGCACGUCAACCAGGAAUCCGGGCAACAUGCAGAAGGCAGAGUGCGACUCCAUGUUUUGCAAGAUUGCUGCUGCUCCCAUACGGCCAGUGGAAGUGCUUUUGGAGAGGUUGGUGACCGGCACCCUCUCCAACAAGGCAAAGGCAGCGGGGCAAGAGAAGGUGUUUGCCUCACUCACUCCUCACAAGGCUGCUUUUGGCUACACCUGAGGGAGAAGAGGUACCGCCAGGCUGAAAGGGCAGCCCGGCACCAGAAGAUACGGCGGUACCUGUCAGAAAAGCUGUCCGAUCUCAGGAGAAAUCGUUAAAAAGGCUCAUCCCUUUACUGCC